CUAAAAAUCUAGCCCCAUCUACUAUAUAUACCCACAACCCUAAACAAAAUAUUUUAACAACUUAGUAAAGAAGAUUAAAAAAUUUCUAUGGAGCUAUACUCUUGUACCGCAAGGGAAAGAUGAAAUAAUAAUGAAAUUAUUUAAAAGCACAAAACAGUAGAGUUUCACCCUCGUACCUUUUGCAUCAUGGUUUAGCUAGUCUAAUUAGGCAAAAAGCUCUUAAGUCUAACCCCCCGAAACUAAGUGAGCUAAUUUAGGGCAGCCCAGUGUGCAAACCCAUCUAUGUCGCAAAAUAGUGGGAAGACCUUAAAAUAGAGGUGACAAACCUAACGAACUUAGUUAUAGCUGGUUUCUCAAGAAAUGAAUAUUAGUUCCGCCUAAAGCAAUUUAAAUUUAAAUAAAUACUCCUCACCGCUUUAGAGUAAUUCAAACAAGGUACAGCCUGUUUGAUCCUGGACACAGCCCUCGCUUACGGGUAACACAGCUCAAAACUACAACAAGUAGGCCUAAUAGCAGCCACCUUUAAAAAAGCGUUAAAGCUUAUUAUGUUUUGCACUAUACCUCUACUACCACAGACCCCUAUAACCGUAUUGAGAAAUUCUAUGCCCCCCCCAUAGAAAUUUUUAUGCUAAAACUAGUAACAAGAGUUUAUACUCUCUAAAUGCAAGUAUAAGCCAGUAGAACAUAUCACUGGCAAUUAACAAAUCAAAGUAGUAACUCACCGAGAAAACCCUAUUAUUUUAACUGUUAACCUAACACCAGAGCAUUCCCAGAAAGAUUAAAAGACAAAGAAGGAACUCGGCAAAUAUAAACCCCGCCUGUUUACCAAAAACAUCGCCUCUUGAAUCUAUUAGAGGUCCAGCCUGCCCAGUGACUCUUGUUCAACGGCCGCGGUAUCCUAACCGUGCGAAGGUAGCGUAAUCACUUGUCUUCUAAAUAAAGACUAGUAUGAAAGGCAUCACGAGGGUUUAACUGUCUCCUCUCUCUAAUCAGUGAACCUAAUCUCCCCGUGAAAAAGCGGGAAUUUUUAUAUAAGACGAGAAGACCCUAUGGAGCUUAAAACAUCUUUACACGUGCCCCACCCCAUCUUAUACCCCGGUACCCAUACACACCAGCACGAUGAUUUUAUGUUUUUGGUUGGGGUGACCGCGGAGAAAACCUCAUCCUCCGUAAUGAAAGGAAUCUUCCUUAACAGAAAGCCACAACUUUAUGUAUUAACAUAUUAACACUAUUGACCCAAUAAAUUGAUUAAUGAACCAAGUUACCCUAGGGAUAACAGCGCAAUCCACUUCCAGAGCUCCUAUCGACAAGUGGGCUUACGACCUCGAUGUUGGAUCGGGGUAUCCUAGUGGUGCAGCCGCUACUAAAGGUUCGUUUGUUCAACGAUUAAAACCCCACGUGAUCUGAGUUCAGACCGGAGUAAUCCAGGUCGGUUUCUAUCUAUAAUAGAGCUUUUUUCAGUACGAAAGGACCAAAACAGCCUGGCCCAUACUUCCGCAAGCCAUAGCUAAUUAUUACUGCCCCCAAUCAAAAAAUUAUUAGCCUAACACCUAGUUCGA
rnacentral:rRNA from 1 species